AACCAAGGUGGUUGAGUUAUAUUUGCUACGGUAAAAAGACAGUUAAAUACUUAAAGAAAAGUUUAUUAAAUAUUUAUAAAAAGGUAGAAUUUGUAUAUAAAUAUAUAACUUAAGUAUAGCUUAUGCAUUGAAGCUGUGAUAGCCUUGAGGGAAACUGGGAUUAGAUACCCCAUUAUUCUUGGCUGUAAAUAAAUAAAGAUUUACCAGAGUACUAUGAAUUUAAGAAUUUAAAACUCAAAGGGCUUGGCGGUGUUUUAGACCUUUCAGGGGAACCUGUCUCAUAAUCGACAAUCCACGUUACACCUAACCUUUUUUUGCUUUCAGUAUGUAUACCGUCGUCGUCAGGUAACUUUUAAAAAGUAAGAAGUUAGCAAGAAAACUAAAUUGGUUUUAACGUCAGAUCAAGGUGCAGCUUAUAAGAAGGUGAGGAUGGGUUACAAUUAUAAAAUUAUAACUACGAAACAACUAUCUGAAAAAAUAAUUGUGAAGGAGGACUUGAAAGUAAAUUGGUAUAUAUAAACGUUUUGAAUAAGGCUCUGAAACGUGC
rnacentral:rRNA from 1 species